rnacentral:tmRNA from 1 species
GGGGUCGACAGGAAUCGACAGGAAGUGAUGUUAAUCGAUAAGCAUGCAGAGUUUUGUUAGUUGACUCUUAAAUCUUAACUGGCAACAUGCCUAAUUGGCAACGACAAUUUUGCAUUAGCUGCUUAAUCUAGGAUUAACUAGUUAAUUGCUCCGGUGGAGAUGCUGGUCAUUCAUUUCUGCUAAUGGAGUAUCGACAAAGAUGACCUGGCUGCUGCGAGACCUUGGCGUAGUGGUAAGAUAAAAAGGAUAAGGUAGAGGUUGGUCUGUCGUGAACCGGUCUUUACUCGAAAAUCAAUCAUAGACUAAGCAUGUAGAAAGUUGGUGAGCGCCUUAGCUGGACGAGGGUUCAAAUCCCUCCGACUCCACAA